UGGGGAAUAUUGGACAAUGGGCGAAAGCCUGAUCCAGCCAUGCCGCGUGUGUGAAGAAGGUCUUCGGAUUGUAAAGCACUUUAAGUUGGGAGGAAGGGCAGUAAGCGAAUACCUUGCUGUUUUGACGUUACCGACAGAAUAAGCACCGGCUAACUCUGUGCCAGCAGCCGCGGUAAUACAGAGGGUGCAAGCGUUAAUCGGAAUUACUGGGCGUAAAGCGCGCGUAGGUGGUUCGUUAAGUUGAAUGUGAAAGCCCCGGGCUCAACCUGGGAACUGCAUCCAAAACUGGCGAGCUAGAGUAGGGCAGAGGGGGGUGGAAUUUCCUGUGUAGCGGUGAAAUGCGUAGAUAUAGGAAGGAAAACCAGUGGCGAAGGCGACCACCUGGGGUCAUACUGACACUGAGGUGCGAAAGCGUGGGGAGCAAACAGG
rnacentral:rRNA from 1 species